GAUGAACGCUGGCGGCGUGCCUAAUACAUGCAAGUCGAGCGAACAGACGAGGAGCUUGCUCCUCUGACGUUAGCGGCGGACGGGUGAGUAGCACGUGGAUAACCUACCUAUAAGACUGGGAUAACUUCGGGAAACCGGAGCUAAUACCGGAUAAUAUAUUGAACCGCAUGGUUCAAUAGUGAAAGACGGUUUUGCUGUCACUUAUAGAUGGAUCCGCGCCGCAUUAGCUAGUUGGUAAGGUAACGGCUUACCAAGGCAACGAUGCGUAGCCGACCUGAGAGGGUGAUCGGCCACACUGGAACUGAGACACGGUCCAGACUCCUACGGGAGGCAGCAGUAGGGAAUCUUCCGCAAUGGGCGAAAGACUGACGGAGCAACGCCGCGUGAGUGAUGAAGGUCUUCGGAUCGUAAAACUCUGUUAUUAGGGAAGAACAAAUGUGUAAGUAACUAUGCACGUCUUGACGGUACCUAAUCAGAAAGCCACGGCUAACUACGU
rnacentral:rRNA from 1 species